rnacentral:lncRNA from 1 species
CAAGCCUUUAUAAGCAGCCGCUUGGAGGUUUGCCGCCCUUUCGAUCCAUGCGCCUGGUGGAGUGAAGGUGGUGCGUGUGACCUCCAGCUCGGGCUUGGGGCCCAGGUCGGGGCCGGCUGGGCGGGCAGCGGGGAGGUGGUGGCCCGGCGUGUAGGUCGAGGCGCCCUUAACAUUGAGCAGGCUGAAGGGAGGGCCCCCCUCCCCGCUCUCUGCAGUGGUGGCGGCCGGCGUGCCUCGCUGGGCCGCGUGGGCUGGGCCGGACCAUUGUUGGGGGGGGGGAAGCGUGGCGCCUGAGGCCGCUAUCCGUUCAGGCAGCCAUGGAGGCGACACCGGGGCCGGGACACGCCGGGGCUGCGGAUGUGCCUUCUCGCAGGAAGAUGACUUGAAGUAAAGAAGCCUGGUCUUUCCAGGUGGAUGUGACACAACAGGAUGGGGCCAGGUUGCUCUUCUGGGGAUGGCCCGAAUCUGAAGCUCUUCACAAGCCCUAUGGAAGGUGGUGAGACAGCAGAGCAGGAGAGUCUCCUGGGUGGUGAUGGUGCAAACUGCUGGUCUGGGGAGGAAGGAAUCCAACAAACCACGUGAGCUUGGGGACUGGUGUUUGUAGACACAAGAGGUUUUCUGUCUGAAGGUGCUAAGAAAUGACAAUGGUUACACUGUCCUGAUUACACAAACAUUAAAGUGAUCUCUUUC